AUACGUAGGGGGCAAGCGUUAUCCGGAUUUACUGGGUGUAAAGGGAGCGUAGACGGCUUGGCAAGUCUGAAGUGAAAGCUCGGGGCUCAACCCCGGAACUGCUUUGGAAACUGUCGAACUGGAGUGCAGGAGAGGUAAGCGGAAUUCCUAGUGUAGCGGUGAAAUGCGUAGAUAUUAGGAGGAACACCAGAGGCGAAGGCGGCUUACUGGACUGUAACUGACGUUGAGGCUCGAAGGCGUGGGGAGCAAACAGGAUUAGAUACCCUGGUAGUCCACGCGGUAAACGAUGAUCACUAGGUGUUGGCACGCAUAGCGUGUCGGUGCCGCAGCAAACGCAAUAAGUGAUCCACCUGGGGAGUACGUUCGCAGGAAUGAAACUCAAAUGAAUUGACGGGG
rnacentral:rRNA from 1 species